AGAAAUGUAGAUCAGUGGUAGAGUACUUGCCUAGCAUGCAAGAAGCCCUGGGUUCAAUCCUCAGCACUGCAA
rnacentral:tRNA from 1 species